UACGUAGGGUGCGAGCGUUGUCCGGAAUUACUGGGCGUAAAGAGCUCGUAGGUGGUUUGUCGCGUUGUCCGUGAAAACUCACAACUCAAUUGUGGGCGUGCGGGCGAUACGGGCAGACUGGAGUACUGCAGGGGAGACUGGAAUUCCUGGUGUAGCGGUGGAAUGCGCAGAUAUCGGGAGGAACACCGGUGGCGAAGGCGGAUCUCUGGGCCUGUCCUGACGCUCAGGCGCGAAAGCUAGGGGAGCGAACAGG
rnacentral:rRNA from 1 species